GAUUCCGUAGUGUAGUGGUUAUCACGUCUGCUUCACACGCAGAAGGUCCUGGGUUCGAGCCCCAGCGGAACCA
rnacentral:tRNA from 1 species